rnacentral:rRNA from 1 species
GUCUUUUUGUGUACCAUAAAAAGUCGUGCCUUCCCAGUGGGUUUUAACCUAAACGGAUGCGGUAAAUCGUGCUAAGGUAGCUAAAUUAUGGCCCAUUAAUUGUGGGUCUUGCGAACGGCUUGACGAGUUCCCUACUGUCUCAAAGUUGUUUUGGUGAACUUGAAUUGGAUGUGUAAAUGCUUCCAUGAGUGAGAAAGACGAGAAGACCCCGUGAAGUUAGAAAUUUUUUAUCUAGUAUGAAUUUUCAGUUUUUUUUGAGUUUGUAGAUGUAAGUUGAGAUCUUGAGAGUUGAAAAAUAUGGUUCUAUUGUUUUGGCUGGGGCAGCAAGAAGGCAAAACUAGACCUUCUUUAUUAAAAAACGGGUGCGUUACGACCCAUAGUUUUGAAAGGAAUGAUUAUCAGAAGAAGUUACUCCGGGGAUAACAGCGUUAUCCGUCCUGAUAGUUCUUAUAGAUGGGCGGGUUUGCGACCUCGAUGUUGGCUCUGGUUAUCCUGAGGCUUGCAGGAGGUCUCGAGGGUUGGUUUGUUCGCCCAUUAAAAUCCG